rnacentral:rRNA from 1 species
UACAGAGGGGGCAAGCGUUGUCCGGAAUUACUGGGCGUAAAGGGCGCGUAGGCGGCCUGUUAAGUCGAACGUGAAAUCCCCGGGCUCAACCCGGGAACUGCGUCCGAUACUGGCAGGCUUGAAUCCGGGAGAGGGAUGCGGAAUUCCAGGUGUAGCGGUGAAAUGCGUAGAUAUCUGGAGGAACGCCGGUGGCGAAGGCGGCAUCCUGGACCGGCAUUGACGCUGAGGCGCGAAAGCCAGGGGAGCAAACGGG